rnacentral:RNase_P_RNA from 2 species
GUGAGUGGAAGCUCAUUGUAGAAGUCACGUGCAGAGUGCUUGUCACUCAUCCAAUCACCUUGGGGAAGGUGGAGGAGCCAAUUGUUACCCUUGCAAUGUAUCACCUCAUUCGAGUGAGCGAGUCAACAGAAAAAUUGGGCCAACACAAGCAGUUUCAACAGGAGAAGACAAUUUUAGACACUUCUGCAGAAGGAGAAGCCUGUCUGUCACAGCGCAAAGCUGUCAAAGAGGAGUUCUGCCUUCCCAUUGUAUCCAUUCUGGUUUCAUUGGUGGCCGGGGUUGAUGACAUAAAGAGGGUCAUUCAAUCAAGUGGUACAGGAACAUCAUAUCUUGCAUAGUCAGCACUUUUCAAGUCAU